rnacentral:rRNA from 2 species
AGAGUUUGAUCCUGGCUCAGGAUGAACGCUGACAGAAUGCUUAACACAUGCAAGUCUACUUGAACUUCGGUUUGGGUGGCGGACGGGUGAGUAACGCGUAAAGAACUUGCCUCACAGUUAGGGACAACAUUUGGAAACGAAUGCUAAUACCUGAUAUUAUGAUUUUAGGGCAUCCUAAGAUUAUGAAAGCUAUAUGCGCUGUGAGAGAGCUUUGCGUCCCAUUAGCUAGUUGGAGAGGUAACGGCUCACCAAGGCGAUGAUGGGUAGCCGGCCUGAGAGGGUGAACGGCCACAAGGGGACUGAGACACGGCCCUUACUCCUACGGGAGGCAGCAGUGGGGAAUAUUGGACAAUGGACCAAAAGUCUGAUCCAGCAAUUCUGUGUGCACGAUGACGUUUUUCGGAAUGUAAAGUGCUUUCAGUUGGGAAGAAAAAAAUGACGGUACCAACAGAAGAAGUGACGGCUAAAUACGUGCCAGCAGCCGCGGUAAUACGUAUGUCACAAGCGUUAUCCGGAUUUAUUGGGCGUAAAGCGCGUCUAGGUGGUUAUGUAAGUCUGAUGUGAAAAUGCAGGGCUCAACUCUGUAUUGCGUUGGAAACUGCAUGACUAGAGUACUGGAGAGGUAAGCGGAACUACAAGUGUAGAGGUGAAAUUCGUAGAUAUUUGUAGGAAUGCCGAUGGGGAAGCCAGCUUACUGGACAGAUACUGACGCUAAAGCGCGAAAGCGUGGGUAGCAAACAGGAUUAGAUACCCUGGUAGUCCACGCCGUAAACGAUGAUUACUAGGUGUUGGGGGUCGAACCUCAGCGCCCAAGCUAACGCGAUAAGUAAUCCGCCUGGGGAGUACGUACGCAAGUAUGAAACUCAAAGGAAUUGACGGGGACCCGCACAAGCGGUGGAGCAUGUGGUUUA